CAGCCCAAAGCUGUAUUACCAAAGGAAGAAGGUCUGGAACCAGUAGCUCUCUGACUUGGCAUCACGGGCUGCAGGAACAACAACAGCAGCUGAUUAUACUGUGAACAUUAAGAAAGUUGAGAAGUUUCUGGAGUCAGGGGAACACGAGUCAUUAUCAUUACCACUGUGUACAGGAUACCGGAGAAAAGAAACUUACCAGUCUAUACAAAUAAAAUCCCAAAGCUGUCAGUUAGAUGCUUCCUGUCAGUGGCCACUUAUAUGGAUAAGAAGUACAGAGUUGCAGAACAGCUGUUCAAGACUAAUACACAAACAUCCAUGACCUGGACCAGGAUUUCCUCAGAAUAUUGUUAUUUAGAGAACUACAACGGAUCAGAUCAGACAGGUUAACAUUCCUGACUAGGAGAUAGAACAAAUGGCCUGAAGGAGGCAUGAAUUUGUCAGCACGUUCACAACUUUGGCUCAGGCAGACAGCUGGGAAGAGGCUAAACGAGACUAUUCAGAAGGGUGCUAUAAGUUCAGAAAAUUUCAGACCUGAAGUUUUGUUGUCUAGCUGUGUGGAUGUUUUAGAUGUUUGGAACAUUGGAAAGUGUAGAAAUGACAAGGUAUUGAAUACAGAUGUGAAGUUUCCAUAUCUAGCUGUGUUGAUGUUUUAGACAUUUGGAACAUUAGAAACUGCAGAAAUUACAAGAUUGUCCAGCACUUGCAGACGAGCGAUGGCACCCAUAGGCGGUGUGCAGAAUCUAUGAGUCAGCCUUGUCAUCUCAAAGUAAAGGUCACAAAUCAAGGUAAAAGGUUUGAGCCUUCCAUUUUGUGUCCGCUCUGUAUCUCCUAAACCCCUUGAAGGAUAAUCAUGAAACUUUGAUCAAAUGAUCACCUCAUCAAGACGAUGUGCAGAACCU